UUCCAUACUUCAAACUGCGCGUGUAAAGCGAAAGAGUGCCUUCUUCAAAUAUAUUCUGCAGUUACCUGCACUUCUGCGGAGAUUAAAUCCCCCUCAUCCAAAUAACGUCUCAUCAUUUGCUCAUCCUCGGCCGAGCGACGUCGGAGCUCUCCACCUGGUAAAUUAACCGAUGAAAGAAGCAGUACCGAAUCCAAGCGAGAAUUUGUGUCCACCCGCCAUCGUUUCUGUUGCACGUCUAUGACACGUGCCACCACUACAUCGCCAAUCUCACCCACAUAACGACUCUUGAGAGGGCGGACCGAAAUCAAUUUGUUUACUUUUUCUAUAACACCGGCGACUGAAGCCUUAAUAUUCUCCUCCUCCACAAAUGUGCCGUGUCCCCGCAUGUAACCAGCUUCCGGCAUAAGAAUCUCACCGGGCGUGUAAAUGCGCGGCAGCCGAUCCUGAUGUUCUGCAAGAUCAUUCCAGUCUACACGAUCCAGAGCCAGUCCAAUAGUCGCAUUAAUAGACAUUUUAACUUUAAAUUAAAUGUAUUUAAAUGAUCUCAACAAAAACAAAACGUGGGAACCAGGGUAAGGAAUACCUGGUCACACUAGACGCCUACACUUUAUUGUUAAAGUUAGAGAUCGCAAAUACUCUAAUUACAGAAGCAUGAAUAGAUUCAAACAAUUUUUUGAUAUUUUCACUCUACGACGAUUCCAAGAAUGUUUUCGAAUAAACGUUAAAUUGGAUGAUUAUUCAAAAACAUUGUUGGAACGUUAAGUUGGAUGAUAGUUUAAUGUUUUCGGCUUCAAGUAAUUUUUUGUGAUUUUUAAUUUAUCUGGGUAACAUACGGAAUUUUCAGUUUAUUUAAGUUUCCAAAUCGUUCAAUUUUGAUUCUAUGUAAGGGACUGCAAGUGCAGUUGAAUUUUGUAAUAUAUUUAAAUUACACUGUUAAAUAAUCUUGGAAAAAACACUUGUUUUCUUAGAACCUAUGCUCUUGUAAUUGUUGUUCUCAAUUUCAGUUAUCCAGAUUUUCCAAUCGAUUGUGACGACAAUAAUAAUUUUAAUAUUAAUUAUUUAUAUGAAUUUUGUCAAAAGAUACUGAUUGAUCUUUAAUAAAUAGUCUAAGUUUUUGCCUGCUGGUCCACUAAA